AGCAGCCGCGGUAAUUCCAGCUCCAAUAGCGUAUAUUAAAGUUGUUGCAGUUAAAAAGCUCGUAGUUGAAUUUCGGGGUUCUACCGUUGGUCGGGCUUUGUCUGUACUGGCGUGUAGAAUUUCUACCUUCUGGGGAACCAUCAUGUUAUUAAUUUAACGUGGUGGGAAACCAGGACCUUUACCUUGAAAAAAUUAGAGUGUUCAAAGCAGGCUUAUGUCUGAAUACAUUAGCAUGGAAUAAUAGAAUAGGACGGUGGUCCUGUUUUGUUGGUUUCUGAAUCACCGUAAUGAUUAAUAGGGAUAGUUGGGGGCAUUAGUAUUCAAUUGUCAGAGGUGAAAUUCUUGGAGUAAU
rnacentral:rRNA from 1 species